rnacentral:lncRNA from 1 species
UUUGUUGCUUGAUCUUCGGAGGCGUUGUAGAUGCUGGCUCUGGUCCCGAUGGCUUGAACAACCCGUGAAGAUAAGCUCAAAUUUUGUUUUGCUGUAACAGGGGAUCCGGCGAAGAUUUGAUGCGGGAUGAGUCUUGUUCUGUGGAGUGGAGGCAAUCGGUUGGGAACGAGUUGGGAGAUGUUCGUGAAAGGAGGGAAUGGCUGGAUCAAAGGAAGAUGAAAAUAAUCCGGACGCUGAGCAGAGGAACAUCCAUCGCGGGUGGAAGCUGAUUGCGAACGAGAUGGGAAGUGUUCUUAGAAUCUGGAUGGAUCAAAACCAAUCCGAACUGAACGUUGAAGAUCUGCUGGGAUUUUUGAUUAACUUGCUCCGCCUGUGGAUUAUGGAGAGGAGAUGAACCUUGAAUCACGGAAGCAGGGAAGACGCGUACGGUUGCGGGAAGGAAGCAGGGGAGGCUUGGGAACAGUGGGGCGCUAACCUGCAACUGGCCGUGAGCUCACUGGGAAGGUGUUUGGAUGGAUUCGGAAGAGAGAUACGGCUGUGAUACGAGUGGUUCUCAUCCGGAAGUUGGAGAAGAUGGAAUGAACGAGAUGCAAGGGAUUCGAACUUAUCCGGGCUAGCGGGAGCUGAACGGAAGGAGAGGAUGGCACGGAUGCAUUGGACGGGAUGAAAUCUUGAAACAGGGGAUUCUGUGAAGGCUUGAUCUCCUCCGCAGAUGAUGGGAAAUGGUUGGGAAGAAGUGAUGAACCGUGAGCUGGAUGCGGUGGGAGAAAUCGCUGCUUCUUCAACGCAUGGGAGAAGAUCUUGGACGCUUGGAUAAAGUCUGGGAUGAUACGGAUGACGUGGGAGAGUGGGUCGAUGGAAAGAUGAACACAAUUGAAGCUGGGAGUUCGGGAUGCAUGGGAGAUGAACAUGGAGAAGAUACGUGGGGUGCUGGAACGCGUUCACGGAUUGGGGAGAUGAGGGAUUGAUUUGGUUUGAGGUUUUUAUUCAGCUGGGAACAGGCCAACGGCUCUGUUCUUUGGACGUGGAGGGAUUCGUGGGAUAAGGAUGAUUACAGGGGAGAUACUGUGCGAGAUUUGUUGGACUUGAAGCUGUGGAUAGGCUCGGGAGGAAUCCGUCGCGGGUGAUGAGAGAUUGCAUACGGCUGGGAAUUGAUCUCAUCGGAAGAGGAGUUCUGUUUUGAGGCAGGGAGGAAACUAGGAUGCUCAUCCGGCUAAGAUUUGAAGAAGAUAAGGCUUUGGGAUCCGUGCAACUAGAUGGUAUGCUUUGAGAUCUGAGAAACAAAUAAUUGAAAAGUGUGGAAAGAGAAUUAGGUGCAGAUGGGAAUUAAUGGAAAGCACUGAAUUUUGGAGGAAAGUUCUUGGAGUCGACUCCGGAGGAUGUGAAAUGAUGCAGUGUAGGUUUAGACUUUAUCUUAUUGAGCUUGACUCAACCUGCAUACAUUAGGCUCAAUUAAUAAAUAAUUAAAUCAAACUCGAAUUAAUUUAUUAAAAUGCAAUGAUGAGGGUAACACAUCUUUUAUGGUUAACUUUACAAAAUAUAUGUAUUAAAAUAAUGAUAAGUGCUAUGAGAAGGAUAUUAAUAUAUGCAUUAUUCAGCACUUAUCACACCCCCCAACCUACAUUUUGCUAGUCCUCAAGCAAAAUAAAAGCUAACUCACUUUCGCAGAAAUCGCGAUUGCAUUUACCGUAUGUAAUAAGGCUUUAAACCCCUAGGUGGCCCUAGUGGACGAGUUUUAUCUCGUGAGAGUUUCCGGCUCAGAUACCCACAAACUGCUGUCGAAAGAAUUUAUUUUAUUGCUUUAUAAAAUCUAAUUUCAAAUGCAUUAAUGCCAAAAAUUUCAAAAGCACACAAAGUUUUAAUUACUAAGUCAAGCCAAAUCCUAGGUCAGUAUGCAACUUAAGUUGAAGUCAUUAAAUUUCUGUUAGAGAGUUGUAAGGCUUAUUUAUACUUGGAUGCUCGGUGAUAUCUGGACCAUACACAAGCUAAGGCUUUAGAUUUCCCAAAAUACUGCUAAAGCUAGUAGUUUCCAAGAAUUGAUCAGAUAAGACCUAUUCACUGAUUCAAAAUCAUCCUAUCUUGCAGGAUUUCAAGAGUUGUGGAUGUUUACUUUAAUACCUCAUGGGUUUUAUCUGUAAUAUUCCAGUUUACUCGAAUUUUUACAACGACGGCUUUCACACUAUCAUCUUUUUCAAGGUCAAUAUUGUUUUCUCUUUCUUUUUUUUAAUUUGUUUUGUAUUUAUAAAUAAAUUAUGCACUUUUACUCUUGUAAUGAUUCUUUCGUGUAGCGAGCAUUCAGUCAACACUCCCACACCAGAUGGCAUAAGGUGUUGGGCAUCAAGACUCCCCUACGGACCUAUGCUCGGUUCCUCAUACAAGCCCGCUGGCCUUUGACAAUAGGUAGCCCUUUUCGAUGUACCUGACUGAAUUCACUUCUCUUUUUUUCUUUUCUUUUUCUUCUUUUUUUUAUGGGAUAACAGUGAAUUAGAUAGGAAUGAUUCAUCAAGACUCAAGGUUGCUACCAGAUUUAACAACAUAAUGUCGAACCUAACCCUUAGAAGUGCAGGCCGUACGUGUUGUGAAAUUCCAAAGUAAAAAAUUAUCUUACAACUCGCUAAAAGAAUUUUUAAUGAAAAGAGCUCAAAUUGACUUACUCCUGACUAGUUAUUGGGCUUUUUUAGAUUUUAUAUACUUUGUAUGUUUAUCAUUUCAACAAUAAAGCAUAGAAAUUAGUUUUUUUUUCAAAAACUUAUUCAAAAAUAUGAAAAUGUGAAAAAUAUCUUCAAAAAUUUGAAUGCUAUACCCCCCAACCUAGAUCAGACAUUAUCCUCAAUGUUUAUAUAUAUAUAUAUAUUGUUAAUAUUAUUAUUUUUUUUUACGUUAUUUUAUUUUGGACGAAAAUAUGAUGCAUAUGGAGGAUAGAAGCAUUUUACCUUAGUUGCAUCAGUAAUAUGAGGACUCCUGAAAAAAAUGCGACAAGAAAAUGUGCAAAAACGAACUACAAAAAUUGGGUUACCUCCCAACAAGCGCUAAGUUUAACGUCUGCAGCCAGACGCAGUGCAUCCUUAAUUAUAUCAUACCGGGCUCAUGCCGAGUUUUCCAAAGAAGAAAAUUUGUGGGAAGCUGAUUGUCGGGCACAGAGUUGACUGUUGCUAUGGCCUGUUCUAUAUCAAAGUCAAAAUGUACUAAUUCAGGAGAUCUGGAAUGACACCCUAUACACUAAAACUUGAUCAGUCAAGCAUGCAAUAAAAGAAAAACACACCAAAUCCUUAUGUUUGCCCUAAAAUCAAUAGACAGCUCCUAACUGGUUUGAAGAGGGCACCUAAGCCUCCAAUCCGAUCUAAUGAACUGAGUUGACCAGAUAAGCUCCCAGGUAAGUGGGGGGGUCACGAUGCGUUCGCAGAGGUCCCACUUAAAAACCACUUGCCUCGAACAGAUGAACUGUCUCCCUUAAAGGGACAAAACUUGCCUAGACAUCAACUGAGCCACAGAGCGAAAUUGGUGUAACUUUCGGUGAUCUUCAUCCUAUUGAGCUCGAAUGUCCUUAGGGGCCAACGUCUAAUUAAUUUUAAUUAAAGUGAUAGCUAUGUGAGAAUUGAUUCACCUAACUUGGGCAAGAAUCUGGUGAUGAAAUCCAGUUCUUAUCUUGUUGGGGUGAUUGCCCUUACUAUGUGCGGAUUAAUUGGUGUAUGUGUAUCAAGCAUGCAUUCACACUUUUACUGAAAUUAAAAUCAAAUAAUCACCACAAAAUUUCAAACAAACUGGGGAUCAAUUUAAAUAAGAAAGGUUUAGAGGUUACCAAAGAAAAUUUUCCCAGCAAAUUUUUUUUUUUUUUAAAAGCAAACCUCUACAGCAUUCUUUUUUCAGUAGUUUCUCUUUUGAUCAUCCCAAAUUUUUUCUUCGAUUCCUGAUCAAAUAAUACCCAAAGAAAAAUCAAAAAUUAGUUAAAAAAAAGAGAUAAGGAAAGUAACAAUAAUAAAAAAUAUUUUUAUUUUAUUUUAGACAUAUAUAUAUAUAUAUAUAUUGAAAGUUUUUUUUUUAUGAAAAGAAAAACAACUAUGCUAGCAAUCCCCGGCAACGGCGCCAAAAAUUGAUAGUCAACUUUAAAGACCACGCAAUAGCACGUAUCUAGUAGGAUAGUGAUUACGGGUAUCGAUCCAUAGGGAUUGGAGCAUAGUUGUUUUUCUUAAAAAAAUAAAAAUAUUUAAAAGAAAGAGUUUGUAAAAAAAUUAAACUAAGGAAUUUAAUAAUAAAAAAAUGCAAUUAAAAUGUUAUCAGUUUGAGGGAACCUAGGGCAAGGAAUUCACCACUAACAUCGGAACAAGGGUUAUUUAUAAUUUAUUUCGUUCUUGGAUUAAUAUGCAAAUUGGCUACAAGUCAUUAAGCAUUCGAAUAGAAAUUCACAAAAGUAAUUUAGGCAUAAUCCAUCUUCAGUUGGCAUGAAAAGUCUACCCUAAUCUAAGGUGGUAGUACAUCGCAUCUUUCCUAAGCAUGGACUAUCUUAUAUUUACUUAGUGAUCAUGAAGAACAGUUGUAUAUACUUCACAUUUAAAAUCACAGAAAUUAAACAUGAAAUAAAAGAAGAUAUUCAUUAAAAACAAUAAGUUCAUACAACUCCAAGAAUAUAAAAUAAAAUAUAAAACCCGUGUCCCUUUAUUAGGGCUGCAUCCAGCCCUAGUGAAAAGCUUAGGCUUCCAUGCAGUGGUGGACGACAGCAGCAGCACAGCAGCGGGCUCCCAUCUUCAUAUGAAAAUCUUCCGCUUUCGUCCCACUCCCUCUAUUCCCAAAAUAUCACAAAGUAUUCUCUCCCUCUCCUUUUUUUUUAUUCUUUUGUGGGAACUCCCUGUGAAGAGCUCAGUGGGAGAAGAAGGAAGAAAGGGAGCAGCCCCCUCCCCUGGUGGGGAAGAGGGAAUAAAGGGAGCAGCCCCCUCCCCUGGUGGGGAAGAGGAGGAAUCGAACCCCCCAGAAGUCCCUCCCCUAUUUCAUGCAUGGGCCUUUUAUAGGCUGCAAGCUCCAUCUCUCCUCUCCCCUAUUUUCCAUAGAGAUAAGGAUGGAUCGAAACUGGAUGGAGCUGAGGAUUUGUUGCUUGAUCUUCGGAGGCGUUGUAGAUGCUAGCUCUGGUCCCGAUGGCUUGAACAACCCGUGAAGAUAAGCUCAAAUUUUGUUUUGCUGUAACAGGGGAUCCGGCGAAGAUUUGAUGCGGGAUGAGUCUUGUUCUGUGGAGUGGAGGCAAUCGGUUGGGAACGAGUUGGGAGAUGUUCGUGAAAGGAGGGAAUGGCUAGAUCAAAGGAAGAUGAAAAUAAUCCGGACGCUGAGCAGAGGAACAUCCAUCGCGGGUGGAAGCUGAUUGCGAACGAGAUGGGAAGUGUUCUUAGAAUCUGGAUGGAUCAAAACCAAUCCGAACUGAUUUGAGACGUUGAAGAUCUGCUGGGAUUUUUGAUUAUGGAGAGGAGAUGAACCUUGAAUCACGGAAGCGGGGAAGACGCGUACGGUUGCGGGAAGGAAGCAGGGGAGGCUUGGGAACGGUGGGGCGCUAACCUGCAACUGGCCGUGAGCUCACUGGGAAGGUGUUUGGAUGGAUUCGGAAGAGAG